CCUACGGGGGGCAGCAGUGGGGAAUAUUGGGCAAUGGACGCAAGUCUGACCCAGCAACGCCGCGUGAAGGAAGAAGGCUUUCGGGUUGUAAACUUCUUUUGUCAGGGAGCAAUUGGGUCCACGCGUGGGCUUAGCGAGAGUACCUGAAGAAAAAGCAUCGGCUAACUCCGUGCCAGCAGCCGCGGUAAUACGGAGGAUGCGAGCGUUAUCCGGAUUUAUUGGGUUUAAAGGGUGCGUAGGCGGAAUAUCAAGUCAGCGGUAAAAAUUCGGGGCUCAACCCCGUCGUGCCGUUGAAACUGAUGUUCUUGAGUGGGCGAGAAGUAUGCGGAAUGCGUGGUGUAGCGGUGAAAUGCAUAGAUAUCACGCAGAACUCCGAUUGCGAAGGCAGCAUACCGGCGCCCAACUGACGCUGAAGCACGAAAGCGUGGGUAUCGAACAGGAUUAGAUACCCGAGUAGUC
rnacentral:rRNA from 1 species